rnacentral:rRNA from 1 species
UACGGAGGAUCCGAGCGUUAUCCGGAUUUAUUGGGUUUAAAGGGAGCGUAGGUGGAUUGUUAAGUCAGAUGUGAAAACUAUGGGCUCAACCGAUAGAGUGCAUUUGAAACUGCAGUUCUUGAGUGAUGGAGAGGCAGGCGGAAUUCCCGGUGUAGCGGUGGAAUGCGUAGAUAUCGGGAGGAACACCAGUGGCGAAGGCGGCCUGCUGGACAUUAACUGACGCUGAGGCGCGAAAGCGUGGGGAGCAAACAGG